CGCGUAGGCGGCUUUUCAAGUGACGGGUGAAAUCCCUCGGCUUAACCGAGGAACUGCCUGUCAGACUGGAAGGCUUGAGACCGGGAGAGGUGAGUGGAAUUCCCAGUGUAGCGGUGAAAUGCGUAGAUAUUGGGAGGAACACCAGUGGCGAAGGCGGCUCACUGGACCGGAACUGACGCUGAGGCGCGAAAGCGUGGGGAGCAAACA
rnacentral:rRNA from 1 species